GGCGGACGGGUGAGUAACACAUCGGAAUUUGCCCAGUCGCGGGGGAUAACGUAGGGAAACUUACGCUAAUACCGCAUACGACCUUACGGUGAAAGCGGGGGAGUCGCAAGACCUCGCGCGGAUGGAUGAGCCGAUGUCGGAUUAGCUAGUUGGUGGGGUAAAGGCCUACCAAGGCGACGAUCCGUAGCUGGUCUGAGAGGAUGAUCAGCCACACUGGGACUGAGACACGGCCCAGACUCCUACGGGAGGCAGCAGUGGGGAAUAUUGGACAAUGGGGGCAACCCUGAUCCAGCAAUGCCGCGUGUGUGAAGAAGGCC
rnacentral:rRNA from 1 species